AUGUCUAGAAAGAAGGUGAAACUAACCUACAUCAGUAAUUACUCGACUAGAGAAACAACAUUCAAGAAAAUGAAGUAGGAUCUGAUGAAGAAAGUGAGUGAACUCAACAACCUUCCCUAUAGCCUAUAUCAUACUCAACAUGAGAUUUGGCCAUCCUCUCUCCAAGUGCAACGCGUUCUUAAAAAAUUUAAGACCAUGUUGGAGAUUAAACAUAGCAGAAAGAUGGUGAACCAAGAAAGUCUUCUGAGGCAGAGGAUUGAGAAAGCCAAUGAACAACUGAAGAAACAAAGGAAGGAGAACAGAGAAAAGGAGAUGACAAGGGUGCUAUUCCAGAGUCUGACUGGUAAGUCCCUCCACAGUUUGAACAUGGUUUCUUUGAAUGAUCUGGGUUGGCUGAUUGACCAAAGCUUGAAGGACAUUCGAGUCAAAAUUAAGAUUCUGGAUUUGGAGGAGGAGAACAAACAAGUCCAAGUAGAACCAACAGGACUGCUAGUGGCUACAACAACAGAUUAUUGAAUGGAGAGGUAGG